rnacentral:rRNA from 1 species
CUUUACUGCAACUUGACGUUAGAACUUGGCUGUAUUUGUGUAGGAUAGGUGGGAGACUUUGAAGCAGGGCCGCCAGGUCUUGCGGAGUCGUCGUUGAAAUACCACCCUGGUGCUGACGAGUUUCUAACCGUGUCCGUAAGCCGGACAUGAGACAGCGUCUGGUGGGCAGUUUGACUGGGGCGGUCGCCUCCUAAAAGGUAACAGAGGCAUUCAAAGGUCCCCUCAGCGUGGUCAGUAAUCACGCACAGAGUGCAAACGCAUAAGGGGGCUUAACUGCGAGACCGACAGGUCGAGCAAGUACGAAAGUAAGAGUUAGUGAUCCCGCAGUUUAGCGUAGAAUUGCCGUUGCUCAAUAGAUAAAAAGUA